rnacentral:rRNA from 1 species
AUGGGGAUGGUGCGGGCGGCGUGGUUUCUGCUCCUGUUGGCGUUGCUCGCGGCGGCGGACGCAAGGAGGCAGAAGGGCGGCGAGACGGCCUGCGACAAGGGGUGGGAGUGCAGCGGCAGCAGGUUCUGCUGCAACGAGACCAUCACCGACUACUUCAAGGCCUACCAGUUCGAGGAGCUCUUCGCCAAGCGCAACAACUCCCUCGCCCACGCCGCCGGCUUCUGGGACUACAAGGCCUUCAUCACCGCCGCGGCCCUCUACGAGCCUCGUGGGUUCGGCACCACCGGCGGCAGGGAGAUGAGCAUGAAGGAGGUCGCCGCCUUCCUCGGCCACGUCAGCGCCAAGACCUCGUGUGGAUAUAGUCUAGCUGACGGUGGUUCAUUGGCUUGGGGUCUUUGCUACAACCAUGAAAUGAGCCCAAGCCAGAGCUACUGUGACGACAGCAACGAAUUAUACCGUUGUGCUGAAGGAGUUGAGUACUAUGGUCGAGGCGCCCUUCCUGUUUACUGGAACUACAACUAUGGUAUCGUGGGUAAGGGUAUCAAGCAGGAUCUGUUGAACCACCCAGAGUUAUUGGAACAAAAUGCCACUCUAGCAUUUGAAGCAGCGAUCUGGAGGUGGAUGACUCCAAUGAAGAGGAAGCAGCCAUCAGCCCAUGAUGCCUUUGUUGGCAACUGGAAACCAACCAAGAAAGACACUUUGUCCAAGAGGUAUCCUGGCUUCGGUGCGACAAUGAACAUUUUGUAUGGUGAUGCCAUCUGUGGUAAAGGGUCCAUUGAUAAUAUGAAUGGCAUUAUAUCCCACUAUCAACAUUAUCUUGAUUUGAUGGGAGUUGGUGCUCAGCACUCUGGAGAUAACUUGGAUUGUGCCGACCAAGUGCCAUUCAAUCCAUCAUCAAAGAGUCCCGACUCAUAA